AGUCGAACGGCAGCGCGGGGCAACCUGGCGGCGAGUGGCGAACGGGUGAGUAAUAUAUCGGAACGUACCCAAGAGUGGGGGAUAACGUAGCGAAAGUUACGCUAAUACCGCAUACGAUCCAAGGAUGAAAGCAGGGGAUCUUCGGACCUUGUGCUCCUGGAGCGGCCGAUAUCUGAUUAGCUAGUUGGUGAGGUAAAGGCUCACCAAGGCUACGAUCAGUAGCUGGUCUGAGAGGACGACCAGCCACACUGGAACUGAGACACGGUCCAGACUCCUACGGGAGGCAGCAGUGGGGAAUUUUGGACAAUGGGCGAAAGCCUGAUCCAGCAAUGCCGCGUGAGUGAAGAAGGCCUUCGGGUUGUAAAGCUCUUUUGUCAGGGAAGAAACGGUGAGGGCUAAUAUCCCUCGCUAAUGACGGUACCUGAAGAAUAAGCACCGGCUAACUACGUGCCAGCAGCCGCGGUAAUACGUAGGGUGCAAGCGUUAAUCGGAAUUACUGGGCGUAAAGCGUGCGCAGGCGGUUUUGUAAGUCUGACGUGAAAUCCCCGGGCUCAACCUGGGAAUUGCGUUGGAGACUGCAAGGCUAGAAUCUGGCAGAGGGGGGUAGAAUUCCACGUGUAGCAGUGAAAUGCGUAGAGAUGUGGAGGAACACCGAUGGCGAAGGCAGCCCCCUGGGUCAAGAUUGACGCUCAUGCACGAAAGCGUGGGGAGCAAACAGGAUUAGAUACCCUGGUAGUCCACGCCCUAAACGAUGUCUACUAGUUGUCGGGUUUUAAUUAACUUGGUAACGCAGCUAACGCGUGAAGUAGACCGCCUGGGGAGUACGGUCGCAAGAUUAAAACUCAAAGGAAAAUCAC
rnacentral:rRNA from 1 species